GAUGCUGUUAAUCUUUCUGGUGUUCGUUGUACUUUCUGGUCUCUUGGUGAAUCCCUUAAGCCUGAUGGCUUAGUCAAGACCUUUGUUGUAUCUGCCUUUUGCUACAGUUUGUUUCAGAAACCCAAUGGUCAUCCAGAUGUUUCGAAGAGGCAUUACUUCUUUGCUAACAUUGGUGAGAAUCUUUUGAAAGAUUUUGAUGAUGCUGAUCAGGAUGUUUUGGCUCGUGCUUUCAAAAGAUCAUCAAAAGCUAGACCUCUAAACCAUUCUAAUGCGCUCUUUUUCCCAACCUGCUUUGAGGAUCACUGGUUUGUCUUUGUUGUUGAUAUUAAAGACAGGAAAUUUGUGAUUCUUGAUUCUUACUACAAGGAGAAUGAUGAAUUUCAAGAAAUUGUUCGUGAACGCAUG